UCUUGAUUUUAAGGCUUUGGAUUAAGUAGUUGUUUAAGCUAAGUUAUCUCCCUUUGACCAUAGUUGUAGUUUGUGUCCAGUCAGGUGUAUUGACCUUAGGUCAAUUUGUUCCCUCUAAAAGACUGUGUUCUGAUUGGUUUAGGCAUCAGUGAUCAAUAUCUCACUACCUGGAAAGCUUUGAUACUGUAUACAUGUAUUUAGUAGAAGUUGUUUUAAAUCAGUAAUAUAUUAGUUUUAAAGGAAUGGAAUUAUUAGUCAGAGACCAUUAACCUGAAUCACAGUGUGAUAGAGCAGAUGAGUUGUUGUGGUGCAGCUGGUGAUGUUUUCUAUAGCGGUGAUGCAUUUAAGUCCACAACUUGGAUGCUUAGUUUACCCACCAAUAAAUUGAUAAAGGUACAAAGAGCUUGUUUCCUACACAUGGCCUCCAGAUGGACCUACUCCUCAACCCCCACUAGCAGUUAUACUUCCUUAUAAUUUACAAAGGGACUUUAAGUUAAACUAGCCAAGUGACAUUUACAAGAAGAAUAAAAUAAUAAAAUUUACUUUUCUUUCAGUAAUUUAUAAUAUAAUCUAAAGAUUAAAUGAAGUCUUCAAUUUAAAUUAAAAUUAAUGUUUGAUUGGAUUAUCUCACAUAAUAAAUGUGGCACUUAUCACCUUCAGUAAUUACCAUUUAACACCUUAAUUAUUAAGUGAAUGCAGUGGAUCCUUUUCUGUAACAUUCAUCAAGGGAAUUGUCAGUACAAUUUGUUUACACUCAAAUAUUACCCGGUACUUUGAGAAAUAUCAAUUAAAUUGAAAGUUAUAGUAAGUAAAUGUUAUAUAAAAGCGGCUAUGGGUACGUAUGGGACAACCCUUAUUGUGUUGAUCAUAAACGUUUUGUUAUUGUUUUUAAACAAAAGUUAAUUGAUUGUUUUCAACAAGAAUGGUUUCAAGGUAGAAAUAACAGCUCUGUACUGACGGUUUACAAGGCUAUUAAAAACACUUUUGAGUAUGAAAAAUACUUAGAUGUAAUAAAGAAUAAUAAACAUAGAACGUUGUUAACUAGAUUGCGGGUUUCAGCACAUUGUCUAAGAAUAGAAAGUGCGAGAUAUGGCCGAAAUAGGUUAGAAAGAAAUGAACGAGUUUGUUUGAUAUAGUUUAG